AGGAACUGAGUAAUCCAGAGGCCAGGUCACCAACUCUUUCCUCUCCAAACAGCUUGUGGCUGCAGGCAUCUGUCGCACAGAUGAACACCUCUUGCAAGGCUGCUUUCCCAAUGCGGAAUUCCCAGUUAUCCCAGGCCACGAAGGAGCUGGAAUCGUGGAAAGCAUUGGAGAAGGAGUGACCACGGUGAAACCAGGUGACAAAGUUAUCCCCCUUUGCCACCCUCAGUGUGGGGAAUGCAGCUUCUGUUUGAAUCCUGAAUCCAAUUACUGCCUGAAAUCCCAUUUCUCUGAACCACAAAACCUGAUGCCUGACAAGACCACCCGGUUCACUUGCAAAGGGAAG